rnacentral:rRNA from 1 species
AACGAACGCUGGCGGCGUGGAUAAGACAUGCAAGUCGAACGGGACUAAAUCUGUAGCAAUACAGGUUUAGUUUAGUGGCGAACGGGUGCGUAACACGUGGGCAAUCUGCCGAGAAGUGGGGGAUAGCUCGCCGAAAGGACGAAUUAAUACCGCAUAUGAUCAGCUAAGACAUCUUAGCGACAUCAAAGCCGGGGUAACCGUGGCGCUUCUUGAUGAGCCCGCCGGCCUAUCAGCUAGUUGGUGAGGUAACGGCUCACCAAGGCUAUGACGGGUAGCUGGUCUGAGAGGACGACCAGUCACACUGGAACUGAGACACGGUCCAGACACCUACGGGUGGCAGCAGUCGAGUAAUUUUUC